GUGGGAAUGUCCACACAAUUUUCUACCUAAAAAAUUACAUAAAUACAGCUAAACAAAUUUAAAACACAUAUGUAAGUCCUUAUUUAUUAUUGAUGUUGAUGCAUCAUCACAUCCUAUGUUUGAGAAUUGUCUACGUCAUCUUUGUAUCCCUGUAUUAUGUCCAACAUUCCAAGUUGUACCUCAAUCAGCCACUUUAUACGAUGAUUUACUCUCUCUUUAUUCCCAAUGGAAGGGCAAAUUAUCAAAUAAGACUCAUAAGAGCUCCCACCUUCACAGACUUAUGGUACAAACAACAUCUGAU
rnacentral:misc_RNA from 1 species